rnacentral:rRNA from 1 species
CAGGUUUCCGUAGGUGAGCCUUUCGGAAAGGAUCCUUACCUAAGUACGAUGCCUGCGAGGAGACACCGACUCCAGGCAAGCGUUCUACCACCCUUGACUUUGAGCACCUUUUUGUUUCCCUCGGCGGGUUCGCCCGCCAGCGAGGACCCCCUAAACGCUUUGCAGUUUGCAGUAUUUGUCUGAAAAACAUACCAAUAAUCAAAACUUUCAACAAUGGAUCUCUUGGUUCUGGCAUCGAUGAAGAACGCAGCGAAAUGCGAUAAGUAGUGUGAAUUGCAGAAUUCAGUGAAUCAUCGAAUCUUUGAACGCACAUUGCGCCCCUCGGUAUUCCGUGGGGCAUGCCUGUUCGAGCGUCAUUUAAACCCUCAAGCUCAGCUUGGUGUUGGGUGCUUGUCCCGCCCCCGCGCGGCGGCUCACCUCAAAAUCAGUGGCAGCCCGCACCCGCCGGCCGUGAGCGCAGCACAGUCGCGCCCUUUCCAAUUAUCAGAUCGGCUCUCCAGAAGCUCCUUCUUCCACUUUUCUUUUCAAUCAGGUAGGGAUACCCGCUGAACUUAAGCAUAUCAAAAGCGG